UACGAAGGGGGCUAGCGUUGCUCGGAAUUACUGGGCGUAAAGCGCACGUAGGCGGCUCUUUAAGUCGGGGGUGGAAUCCUGGAGCUCAACUCCAGAACUGCCUUCGAUACUGUAGAGCUUGAGUUCGGGAGAGGUGAGUGGAACUGCGAGUGUAGAGGUGAAAUUCGUAGAUAUUCGCAAGAACACCAGUGGCGAAGGCGGCUCACUGGCCCGAUACUGACGCUGAGGUGCGAAAGCGUGGGGAGCAAACAGG
rnacentral:rRNA from 1 species